ACUCCUACGGGAGGCAGCAGUGGGGAAUCUUGGACAAUGGGGGCAACCCUGAUCCAGCCAUGCCGCGUGAGUGAUGAAGGCCUUAGGGUCGUAAAGCUCUUUCGCCUGUGAUGAUAAUGACAGUAGCAGGUAAAGAAACCCCGGCUAACUCCGUGCCAGCAGCCGCGGUAAUACGGAGGGGGUUAGCGUUGUUCGGAAUUACUGGGGCGUAAAGCGCGCGUAGGCGGAUUAGUCAGUUAGAGGUGAAAUCCCAGGGCUCAACCCUGGAACUGCCUUUAAUACUGCUAGUCUUGAGUUCGAGAGAGGUGAGUGGAAUUCCGAGUGUAGAGGUGAAAUUCGUAGAUAUUCGGAGGAACACCAGUGCGAAGGCGGCGUCACUGGCUCGAUACUGACGCUGAGGUGC
rnacentral:rRNA from 1 species